rnacentral:lncRNA from 1 species
CUGCUGAGCGGCCUCCUCUUCAUAGAGAAACUGGUGCAUCCUCUGCCGAUAGUUGGUGCAGGAGAUGGGACCUGGGGCCGGGCCACUGCGACUGAACUCCAGGGCCAGGGCAGGCACCUUGUACUUGGCCAUCAGGGCCACCUGCUCUGCCGUCCGAGCCACACUGGGCACCACGUGGCGGUUGCCAGGGUGCCAGCGCUCCAGCUCCAUGGGGUGGCCAGGCACUGGCGUCCCUUGGAGCCCUGUGCAGUGCACCUGGCCCAGCUGCAACCCCAGCUUUCGCAGCAGUGCUGGCCGGCGGCCAAAGUCAAAGACCACCCACUGCUCGAAGGUGCCGAAGGAGGCGCUCUGCACACCCACCCCCACCUGGAACUCAGCCCGGGAGCCGGGCACACAGAAGCGCUCCCCCUGUGCGUAGACCUGGCCCCGGGGGAGGCAGGGAGCCUCCAGCGAGAAGUCUGCUCCCGGCUCCUGCUUGAGCAGGGCCACGUUGUGCUCACGCUCGAAGUUCCAGACCAGCGCCUCCUCAGGGCUCCGGGCGAAGGUACACUGGUUGUAGUGGCGCCGGCACCCGACCCCAGGCCUGUAGUAGCGGCAAACUUCAUAGCGCAAGGGCUGCGGGAAGCUGGGCCGCCGGUCCACCUUGCGCCAGACCCUGCGCUUGGUGGCUCGCUUGGAGCGAGCCAGCAGGAUCUGGCGGGGGCAGCUGUGCUCCACCGCGCGCAGCAGGUAUGUGCUCUCGUUGAGGCGCUGGGUGCAGCGGGAGCAGCCCAGAUGCAGGUCCACCUGGGCGCACAGCCUGGCCAGAGGCGGCUCCUUGGCGGCCGUGGGGCUAGUGGGCGACGGGCCGAACCCGGGGAACACCAUCUCUGACACUGGCCUGUCUCUGCGGAGCGGCAUCUGAGGCUCAGGGGCUCAGCUGGCCCUCUGGGGCUGUUCACCCACAAUGAGAAGGCUGGGACAGAAGAGCAAGGAGCAAGGUCAGGCCCUGAGGCUGCAGGGCCUCUCGCACCCAGGUCGGAGCUCAAACACACCCUGCCUCUCCUCGGGCAAGGGGCCGAGGAAGCAGAAACAGUAAGGAGAAUUCUUCCCACACGAUGGGAGGAGAGGGUCGUUUGCUCCAAAGAGGCUGGGCCCCCUCAACCUUGACCCAGCUGAGUCUCCUCCCUUUCUGAAGUCUCUGGGCCCUGCCCAAAAGGAGCCAGCCCAGCAGCGAGUGGGAGGGGAGUGCCCCAGCAACAAGAACCCUGGGGACCGGCAGAAGCCCUGGGGGCCCGUGAACUUCCUGACCCUCCAGCCUUCUUCCUGGGGCCUGGCGUCCUAGGGCGCCUCAAGCUCCUGGUCUCCUGACUCUUCUACAGAGACAGCACCCCUGUUCUGGGAAGGACGGUUGGCCCCUGGGAGCAGUGCCCCCACAGCUGCCUGGCCCGGGGGACUGGUUUCCUCCCCAUUGGGGUGGUGCAGGAUCUGGCGGGGGCAGUGCUCCACCACGGGCAGGAGAUAGGUGCUCUCCGCCAGGCGCUGGGUGCAGCGGGAGCAGCCCAGAUGCAGGUCCACCUGGGCGCACAGCCUGGCCAGAGGCGGCUCCUUGGCGGCCGUGGGGCUAGCAGUCAACGGGCCGGACCCAGGGGACACCAUCUCUGACACUGGCCUGUCUCUUGCUGGGGCACCCCCCUCCCACUCGCUGCUGGGCUGGCUCCUUUUGGGCAGGGCCCAGAGACUCUUCAGAAA